UACGGGGGGGCAAGCGUUGUUCGGAAUUACUGGGCGUAAAGAGCUCGUAGGCGGCUUGUCGCGUCGUCCGUGAAAACUUGGGGCUCAACCCCAAGCUUGCGGUCGAUACGGGCAGGCUAGAGUUCGGUAGGGGAGGACUGGAAUUCCUGGUGUAGCGGUGAAAUGCGCAGAUAUCAGGAGGAACACCGGUGGCGAAGGCGGGUCUCUGGGCCGAUACUGACGCUGAGGAGCGAAAGCGUGGGGAGCGAACAGG
rnacentral:rRNA from 1 species